GUGCUGACUUCAGUAGCAGGUGUACUAAAAUUAUAAUGACACAGAGGAGAUUAGCAGGGCCCCCUGUGCAGGGAAGAUCCACAGGUUCAUGCCGCAUUCCGUAUUUUU
ensembl:snRNA U6 U6 spliceosomal RNA